UUGGAUUGGUCUGCCAUGUAGCAUGUUUCUGUCUAUAACGUGAGCUGUUCAGUAUGUGUUGACAAUGCUUACUACCGCACCAUGUUUGAAAGAUAUGACGUUAACGUUAGCCAUCGAGAACUACAAAAGAUUUGCUACUUUUCUCAACAACAUUGAUGCCCUGAAUUUAGCAGGCGCUAUCAACAGAUCAGUUGGAAAAAGCGAUGGACUACUUUCUGCACACACCACUGUCAGUGUGAACCGGAGUGACAAACAAGAGUCAAAUGGUUCCAGUCUACCGUUAAGGGUUCAUCCAUGUAUGUGGGACACCAUCCAACUGGAAGGACGUCUUUGAAUGGAUUUACCCCAAGGCGGCUCAACUUACCCUGUCCCUAUGCUCAACUUAUCCCAUACCUGGUGUAUGCUGUGCAAAGAGACCACUUUUCUGUACAAGCUAUGUUUUCAAAACUGUUAGACGUUUAUGAAUUCUGAUUAUUUCCAGCGAUACACAAACAUCCUAAAAUAUGUAGAUAUCUUUGUUAGACUAUAUUUCCCUUGACGUAGUGAUGCUGAAUGUAAUAAAUGGCUCAACAUACCCCACUCUCCCCUAUAUGUUCCUUCAAUCAG
ensembl:lncRNA